rnacentral:lncRNA from 1 species
UUGCUGCAAAAGUAUAAUGUUGAGGAAGAUCCGACAGACCCGGCUCCUCCUCCGCUUCUCUCUCCCUAUUUUCUAGAUUACAACUAGAACUAACUAGAACUAGAACUAGAGGAACUAGAACUAGAACUAGAUGAACUAGAACUAGAUCUAGAUGAACUAGAGGUAGAACUAGAAGAACUAGAGGGAUCCUCUCUACUUGGAUGAAGAAUUGAAACCCUAACUUUGAUUCUGUAGAAGAGGUAUGACCUCCAGAGGCCAGGGGGUCUGGUUUUAUAGUCCCUUCAAGUGAAUAUGGGCCGUUGGAUCAAACCGACAUUGAUUGAAUGGUUAACCUUGAUCCCUUAGGUCAGUGGAGCACGAUCCACAAGUUUGGACGUGAUUGGGCAGAACUCUAGGGCGGGCGCCCUGUCCCUGAGCCCUCUCGGCCUCCGCUUCCUUCCUGUGGCUUCUGGAGUCUUCUAGAUGAUAGAAAUUGCGGGGCACGUUAAUAUCUCUAUGUAAACCCGACGUGUGGGCCUUUCUUCCGUAUUUCCUGAUAACCCCCUGUAGAAAUAGACAAACACCAAAACUUGUAGAAUUCUGUCAGAUAAAACCCUAAGUCUAGGUGUUGGUUGCAUUUGGAUCCUUUUCCAUGAUUAAUUGAUGGUUAAAUAUGAGCAUUAAGGACCGUCAACAAGCUCCCCCAAGCUUAUCCAUUGCUCGUCCCUGAGCAAAGAUGAACUCAAGAGUUUCUGCAGUGGUUUCAUGCCUUAAAGAUAUACAUGCGUUCAAAUAAGAUCUCAUCUCUGGGUUAGGGUAAACUUUUAAGAUUUAAACUUACUCAUAUUACCUUCCACCAUGGGGCUUGCAACCGUCACCUGUGUCUUGAGCAGUUAAAAGAUAGAACGGUCUAGUCAAGCACCAUGUCUCUUGUUCUUUGAUCAACUAUAGCUCUGGAGUUUUUGCAGAUUUUCAAAUAAAACUCAGAGAUUCCUUGUAUGACUUUUGUGGUAUUUCUGGAUCCUUACCAAGGCAGUAAUGGUGUAUGUCUUCUCUCAAAGUAUGUGGUAUUUUUGGUAUAAGGCAUAGUAGCAUUGCCUUCUCUCUCACCCUACUCUAAUAAGGCUUUUGAUAUCUGGAGCUCAUAGGUGGGAGACAGCUAAUACAUACUUACAAGACAUUUAUUGCAUAGUCAAACUAUGGAUCCAGAAGAACAAGUCAAUAAGUCAAGUCAAGAUGUGCAUGUGUGGCGAAUGAAUGGUGUAUGGUGAUGAUGGUGAUAACAAUGGUGAAAGUCUAAUUCUACUUUUGCUCUUUUGAGGGGAUACAUACCUUUCUUGCUCUUUUGAAACUUUUUGAGGAGAAUGAGAUGCUCUAUAUUUUCUUUUUCUUUUCUCUCAGGUGGGUAUCUUGUACCCCUAAUUCUACUGUCAGACACUUGUCCAUUUUUACCUCUCGUCUCACUUUUUCUUUUCUUCGAGGUUCCGGCCACUUGCCCCCUUUUAUUUUCUCGUAUCUUUUUUUUCUCUCUUUUUUUAGAGCACUCAUCUCCUGAAAUAAUAUAGCAAGUGGUAGUAACCAAGAUAACUUGAGCAUUUAUUUCAUAAGGAAAAAUAGAAAUGUUUUUGGCUAUUCUCUCCCGGGUUAGGAGUAGAAUAUUUUUAGGUGAUUCUGGAGAUGGAAAUGGGUCGAUAUAUGUGGAUGCGUACUUUCGGAGUAGAAGCAGCAUGUGUGAGUGAACGUGCAAGUGAAUCUUGAUUUUAACCACAUGACAAGCUCCUAAGGGUCUACACAGCUUGACCACACUCAAUGCUCAUAAGCAGUAAAAAGUAAAUGUGUGGCUCAAAGUUUAGCAAGCAUGUAUAUAUGGCUGUGGUAGGAAUUUAAACUCUCAUCAUACAGAAACUCAUCAUGCAAUAUUUUAAAGAUUUUCAAAGAUAAAAUUCUCCAGAAUUCUAGCAUCUCUAGGAACAGAUAAACAACAGCUCAACCUUCCCAUAUCAUAUCGAUUAACGACUUAGACUUUAGAUCAAGUACUCUCCCCACAAGUUUAGGUUUAGAGCAAAUCUUAAUUAAUAACAGUCAUGCCUAAACUUGAGAGAGAUUUCAAUUUUGAGAACUAGUUAUGGCAGAGCAACUAUUCAUGAUUUCCAUGUGAGAGCUUACCAUGAGGGUUCAUAGCAAACUUUAUUUAUUUAUUUAUUUAGAAAACUAAGCAAAGAUAUAUAUAUAUAUAAGCACAAAAUCUUUAUUUGGGUUUUUAUGAUUAUGCAUCUUUUUAUUAUUUGAGUAAAGUAUAAACAUGAGUAGAACACUUAGCUGGAUAAAUGGGGGUGCUCUCCCCAAGCUGGAUUUUGACGUAAUUUCUCCUGAUGUAGCUACCAGGUGGCGGAGGUGUAUUUGAAUGUCGGUAGCACCCUGACAGCGAUUAGGAUGUCCUCCGUCUGCUAGUCUUCUUUGAUCCUUGAAUUUUGUGGAGCUCAAAUAGAUAACAAAGCUUUGUGGAACUAGUUAAGUGUUAGCAUAAAUAUCUAGCCUUUAUCAUGUUGAGCCUCCUCAAUAAAUGUUAUUCUCUUUGGUAGGAUCAUAAAUUUAUUUUUAUAUCUUCAUAUUUAUAGGACAAGAAUAUAUAUUUAUUUUAUUUUUAAGCCACCACAAUGAAUGUACUUAAGGGUUUUAUGCCAUGAGCAUACUCACAUGGGGCUUACUAUUUUUAACAUUUUCUUUUCAAGAUGAUAUGAACCUGAUUAACUAAGCAAACUUAUUUAAUUGAAAGGAAAAAGAUAACUACCAAGUUUAUCUCUUGGCAAGGCGUUCGGUGUUUUUAAGUCCUCCGAACGGGACUCUCUGUUUUCUCAGUCGUCCUGGGAUUCGCUGGAUGGCGUAGUCGGUGGUUCCGGCGGCGCUUCCUCUUCGUGUAUAACUAUCUUCUCUCUCCACACCUAACUCGGUGCUACGGUCUCCUCAGGACAGUUCUGUUCAAGUUGUAUGUCUUGAGACCUUAUCACUUCUCCUUCGUAGUCUGCCCAUCCGUCCUUGAUGAUUUGCCUCCUCUGGUUGCGGUUGCGUCAUCUUCUUCUUGUCCUGACCUGCUUAGAAUCUUCAACUAUAUAGUUAGGGUCAGUAAAAUAGCGGCGUACCUUCUCAGAAGGGAAGUGCAUGUGGACUUCUCCAGUUCCAAUGUAAAUGAUCGCUUUAAUGGUGCUGAGGAACGGUCUCCCAAGGAUGAUGGGUGGAUCGUACUCGUCUUCUCUCAUGUCAAUAACCUUCAAUCUUUCGGAAUGUCUGAUCUACCAUCUGGAGCUGAAUAUAUAUUGGUUUUAGGGGCAUGGUUCCGAAUAGGAGCUGAUAGGUGACUGGGUCGUCCUUUUUGGUCAGGAAUGGUGACUUGAGUCGACAAUCUUGAGCUCCUUGAACUGCAGUGACCAUCUUAGCUUACUCGGUUCACAUUUUCUUGUUCCUGUUCCUCCUGUUGGUCCUCUUCCUUGGUUCAUGUCGGGAUUGCUCUGAGAUUUGUGUAAUCUUGUUCUCGAAGGAAAACAUCUCCUUCUUCCCCUUGAUGUAGAAACUGAUCUUGGAAGCACUAGCGUAGAUGACAGCUCCCGAGGUGUUCAGGAAUGGCCUCCAUAGGAUGAUGGGUGCCGUCUCAUCAGUACCAGUCUCUAUCACCACGAAGUCUGCUGGGGCGUAUAAGGUACCAACUCAGAUGUAGAGGUUCUUCAAUAUUCCCUUUGGGAAACAUAGGGUACGAUCUGCAAGCCUGGGCAUAAUGUUGAUGCUGGAGCCUAAGUCACAGAGUGCUUCUGGGAAGUCCACAAUGCCGAUGAAGAUCGGGAUGACGGGGCAUCCUGGAUUAUCUCUCUUGACCGGCAGAAGGUCAGUAAUUACUUCCACAACGGGGUUACUCCAGUAGUUACGUCCUCAAGCAUCUCAGGGUAGUGAUUGCCUGAGUGUCCAGUAUCUCUAGUGUGUUUGUGCUCGUAGAUCCAAAUUCUUCACUUGGUGGAGUCUGGGAGUUAUAAUACUCCUCCAUAUUUUGCUCGAAGUGUACCUACUCGUAGAGACAAGGCAGAGAUCAAGUGCAUGGACUCUGUUGGUGGAAAAACACCAACAGAACCAAAAGUGUAUUUGUUCUUCUCUAACCUUAAGCAUAGUGAGCAAGACAAAGUUGAUGGAUAAUAAGAUCAUGAGUGUAACAUUUAAAACAUUUGUCAGAUCAGAUCGCUCAACCUAAUGGAAAGAUAAUCUAUCUAUAUUUAUGUUUUUAUAUAUCUUCAAGAGAUUGAAUGUGCAACAUUUUAACUUAUAUGAUUAGGAGUGUGGGAUCAUGAAGGUAGUACUAUAAACAAAGAUUAAAGGACUAAACAUGCUGAAUUAAUUGGGUUGGUUAGUCUAGAGUUGUAAAUCAUACAUGUUUGUCUCUUUUACUCAUGUGAACGCCAGAACCAAGGAGAAACUUAUAAAAGUGAUAGUCAAGUACCUUAAGAUGUUACCUUACUUCAAGAGUGAUGGUACAGUAUUACCUUGUGGAAGCUUUCCUUUCUUAGCAGUUGUGCAUCAUGUUUAUGGCACCCACCAUGGAUCAUCUAUUGUGAGCUAUGCCUUCCUUGUGUAAAUUGUUAAACUUCAUGUGUCUCUCUCUUUGUCUCCAAUGUGAGUUUAUCUCAGGACUUCCCAGGUCGAUAUUGAAAGUUUUCCUGUAGGGGUUAGUCCAACAAAAUAUCCAAUAUCUACUAUAGCAUACUAUCGGCUCAAAGAUCAACCUAGACACCAUGUCUAAUUUGAUUUAGGAGGGCAUUUUAACCUAAGCAUCAUGCUUAAUUUAAACUCCUUUGGAAGUAAGAUCAUCAGCCCUAAACUGAGCACCAUGUUUAAUUAAGAGAUAAAUGAAACUACUCCAAACCUAGACAUAUACUAAAGCAAAUAAAGGUAGCAUGAAAGCAUUUAUAGAGAUCUACUCAAGUGGAGAUGAAGUAGUGUGAUUAGUAUUUAACAAAUUGAGCAUGUCUCAAAGGUAGGGACAACCAACAUAGCAACAUGGCAAAGGAUGUUUUUAUGUAAAGUACUCCCCCAAGCUUGAAUUUUGCAAAAUUCAAGUUUGGAUGAAUUUAAUUCAAUGUUGUAUGAUGAUUGGUUGGACAUACCUUGUGCUUGUCAUUCAUCCGAUCUUCUUGCUCCAAUCCUAGAAAGGUUAGUGACAAGAAUACCCGAAGGAAUGUUUUUACAAUUAUCCUUAUAUGCUCAACACACAAGGUAAUGUUGCAAAUAAUUAAAAGCUCAUGUUACAAUCUGAUCAGUGCUUGUUUUAGGACACUAAGCUUGUCCUUGGGAAACCAUCAAUUUAUGUCGGCGAAGUGGUUUCCCCUCCAACGCUGACCUAUAUCAAGAUAAACUCAACGAGAUCUACAAUAUUUAAUAUAGACAUAUGCAUCGACAACCGCCCUUUUAAAGUUUUUAUAAAUAGAAAGGAUGAGGGGGAUGGAGAUCUCGAAUGUGGUGAUGUUGGAGAAACCAAUGGAUUGUGAAGAUGUUGUAUAUGAGCAUGGUGUAAAUGAAGUGGUUAUGAAAUAAAUUCCAUGCUCAUUAAUGCUUAAAGUGAAAUCCAUGUGGUAUGGUGAAAAUGAUAAGGUGAGUGUGGUAAAAAAGAAAAAGAAAAAGGAUACACGGACGACUUGGUUCGAAACUAGCACAGUUACCGUUCCCCGGCAACGGCGCCAGAAAGCUUGUUGGGAAUUUUAAACGCAAACAGAAAAAUCCGCAAGCGCACGGAUACUGAUGUAGCCUUCACCCGGGAGUAUUCCAGAGUAUCGAUUUUCCACAGAGAAUGUGAGUGUACUAAUUAUGAUCCAAGAUCGCCUAGGGAUAACUAUAUAAGUAUUUUUGGUGGGAAGAGAGGAAGUUUCCUGAGAGUUCUCUAGUUGAUCUAAGAAUCAAGAAUUACUUCAAGAUUAUCUAUUUCGGGAGAUCAGAGCACUAACCACAGAAAGAGAUGAGAAGGGGGCUAGGAAGGUCUGACUACGGUCCUACAAACACCGAUCCGAACGUGGUGGAAUACGUCGACCGUUAGGGCUGUCACUACCCUAAGGCUACCACAACAAUCCACAGGAUUAGGUGCAAUUCCAGGUAAUUGCAAGACUAAACACCACGUCUAAUCUAUUAAUUACUACUCUAGCGUUAUAAAGACUAGAGCACUUGAUGCAAGCGAGAAUCCAAUAAAUAACUUGAAUGUAAAUAAAAUUAAUUAAAGAACUCAGGAAUUAUGAAUUGAAGAACUUGGAGAACGAUGAAGAACGAACCAGUUGCUGCAAAAGUAUAAUGUUGAGGAAGAUCCGACAGACCCGGCUCCUCCUCCGCUCUCCUCUUUUAUCUCCCUAUUUUCUAGAUUACAACUAGAACUAGAACUAGAGGAACUAGAACUAGAACUAGAUGAACUAGAACUAGAUCUAGAUGAACUAGAGGUAGAACUAGAAGAACUAGAGGGAUCCUCUCUACUUGGAUGAAGAAUUGAAACUCUAACUUUGAUUCUAUCGAAGAGGUAUGGUCUCCAGGGGCCAGGGGGUCUGGUUUUAUAGUCCCUUCAAGUGAAUAUGGGUUGUUGGAUCAAUCCAAUAUUGAUUGAACGGUUAUCCUUGAUCCCUUAGAUCGGUGGAGCACGAUCCGUGAGUUUGGACGUGAUUGGGCAGAACUCUAGGGCGGGCGCCCUCAGGACUUGGGCGGGCGCCCUGUCCCUGAGCCCUCUCGGCCUCCGCUUCCUUCCCGUGGCUUCUGGAGUCUUCUAGAUGAUAGAAAAUUGUGCGGCACGUUAAUAUCUCUAUGUAAACCCGACAUGUGGGCCUUUCUUCCGUAUUUCCUGAUAACCCCCUAUAGAAAUAGACAAACACCAAAACUCAUGGAAUUCUAUCAGAUAACACCCUAAGUCUAGGUGUUGGUUGCAUUUGGAUCCUUUUCCAUGAUUAAUUGAUGGUUAAAUAUGAGCAUUAAGGACAGUCAACAAUCAACAAGUAUCUUGGUCAUCGGCUGUCCAUCAACCCUACCUUUGACAAACAGAGCCUUGAGAUGCUGCCUUUCAUUAUCGUCAGUUUUUUCAAAGAUGGUCGUCAUUGGAUCCAGAGCCAACUGAGCUAUUUGGUCGGAAAAGUCCAUCUCCUUGUCAUCACCAGACGACGCAAGGAACUCCAUCGGCAAUAUAAACACCAUAUUAACAUCUGCCGAUGGUCCUUUCCCCUUGGGAUCUGGCUGUUGCCGAUCUUCAGACUUAGCAGAAUUAUCUCCUUUGCUCAGCUCUUCUCGUCUCUCAUGUUGCAGCCUUCUUUUCUGUGUCCUAGUCAGUCCCUCUGGACACCAUGGAGGAUGUUGCGGUUGCCUUACCGAUUGCCGACGAACUUCUCUUGACUCCAAUCGGUAAGUAUUGGCAUCUCUGCAAAAUAUGAACUCAUCGGGAACUCGUGCAUGUGCCAUCUCCUCAAGUUCCUUUUGGUUCCUGGAAAAGUAUCCAACACGGUCACCAAGUCUGUCAUGCACACUGAGUCUGCCCCCCAGCCGAUCAUGAACCGAAGCUCUCCCCCUAAUCGGCUCAUUAAAUCGCCGAUCAUUGUUUUGAUACUGCCGAUUAGGUCUAUCAUAUCGAUCAUAACCAUUGCACUCAGGGCAGUCUCUAAUAGUGGGCAAUUUGAUGUUUUGUUCCCAAUAGUGGAUAAAGAAAGGGCAAUUCCAAUGAUCUUUAUGCCGAUUCCACUCCUGCCGGCGUCUUUCUUCUUCCCGACGAUAAUCCUCCUGUUGGCGUUGAUACCGAUCUUCACGUUGUUGCCAGGUUUCCCGAUGCCUUCUAUGAGUAAUUACAAUACCCGAUUGGGGAAGCCUUCCUGAGCUGGUUCCUUCCUGAAUCAGACCUUUGCUUUUAUCAUCAUCGGUAGUAAUCUGAUGUUGAGGAUCCACCGAUGCACUUUUUUCAGCUGCCUCUGAUGUUAAAACCUUCGUCUUUCCCUUAGCAUCCAACAUAUUUAUUGGGAGCAGAUGCUGAUCGAUCUUCAUCGGCUUCUGAACUUUGGAAUUAUCAAACUUAAUUCGUCCAGAUUCUAUCGCCGAUUGCAGUUGUUGCCUGAAAACCUUGCACUCAUUUGUGCUGUGAGAUGUUGCACUAUGCCACUUGCAGUACUUCAUCUUCUUUAAUUCUUCAGCCGAUGGAAUCACAUGAUUGGGUGACAACUUGAUUUGCCCUUCCUGAAGUAGAAAGUCAAAUAUCCUAUCGGCUUUGGUGAUGUCAAAUGCAAAUUUCUCUGGCUCUUUAUGCCCAAAAGGGCAAGACAUUGGCUUCUUAUUUUUUACCCACUCUGCCAAGCCGAUGACCGGUUCCUCAUCAGAGUCUGAGAUUGCUGCCUCAUCGACAAAUAAGACCAUUUUAUUCCAUGCUCUCUUAGGCUCAAAGGGUUUGAUAUCUUGGUCAGAAAUCCUCUGCACCAAGUGACUUAGGCUCUCGAACUCUUGAGAAGUAUACUUGUCUCUGAUAUGUGGCAACAAUCCCUGGAAAGCUAAAUCGGCCAGCUGCCGAUCAUCCAGAACCAGACUAUAGCACUUAUUCUUAACAUCUCGCAACCUCUGCACAAAGCUUUCAACGGAUUCAUCAUUGCAUUGCUUCAGCCUGACUAAAUCGGUAAUCUUCUUCUCGUGAACUCCAGAAAAGAAGUAUUUGUGGAAUUGUUUCUCUAGAUCGGCCCAAGUGAUUACUGAAUUGGGAGGUAACGAAAUAAACCAAGUAAAAGCCGAUCCAGACAAAGAUGAUGAGAACAAAUGAACCCUUAACUCAUCUCUGUUAGCAGCUUCUCCACAUUGGAAGAUGAACCUAUUAACAUGCUCUAUAGUUGAUGUAUCAUCCUGUCCAGAUACCUUGUACCGAUUUGGAAGUGGAAUCAAGUCAUAUGCAGGAGGAUACGGUGUCCGAUAAGAGUAAGUGUUGACUUUGGGUUUUAUCCCAAAUUGAUCUCUCAUUACUUCAGCUAUCUUAUCGGCCCAAUAUGCAUUGGCAUCUUGCCGAUGAGGCGGCUGUAGAUCUGGCACCUGCUGAUAAGUUUCCAUGUGCCUCUGAGGUGUACGAUCUGCAUGGAACAUUGGAUUAACCAUCUGACCACCAAUUUGCUGACCAAGAUUCAUCGGCUGGUUGUUCAAUCCUUGAUUCUGGAACCGAGGUUGGAUUUGUCCUUGUUGAAACCCUAUAGCCUGAUGAUUCUGCUGAGGCAUCUAUGGAAAGACUAACUGCCCUGUCCAUCCACUGUUAGCAUUCAUCGGCAUAGGUCCUGCCGAUGACUGGUAAUUGAGCAUCAUCAUUGAAUUGACAUAUCGUGGUUGUGUCAUGAACCUCUCCUGCGUCGACAUUGGAUCUGCCGAUGCAUUAGGCGUCUGGAACGUUGGAGCUUGAGAAUUCCCAGUGUAAGGUCUUGCAGUAGUAGUUGUAGAGUACUGGGGAUUUUGAUUCAUCGGCGGAUUUGGAGGUGCCGAUGCCAUAGGAGCCUUGCCUAUCACGUCAGCCACUUGAGAUGUUCUAGGACUCUUUGCCAUCAAUUCUGGGGGCAUACCAUAAACCCACCAGUUGGGAGGAACAGUCCCUGACAUUGCCGAUUCCAAUAGAUCUGUGGCGAGCUUGAUUUGCCCGUCUGAUGUUGAUGGAUUGGUUGUCAUUGGUGUAGACUGCGCAUUAGUGAUCCCUAAUGUGCUUGGAGGAGAAGUAUCUUCUGUCCACAACGACUAUAGUAGCCGAUGGAGCCGUGACUAAUGAUGACCCUGGCUGAUGAUAGGCAGGACCCACAUAAGUUGGUGGUACUUGUCCUUCUUUGAAAGUUCUAGCCACAGCAUUGAAAACCGUGUUGGACAGCACACUAUCUUGAUUGAUCAAGGCACGGUUAAUAGCAUUGUCAACCAUGUCUUGAAGUUUACCAGGAUUGGCUUCAAAAGUAAUUUGCCGAGGCAUCGGCAAUGCUUUCUUCUGGAUCACCUCGCCACUCCUAUUGAUACAGAAGGAUUUCAAGCAUAGCUGCUUGUAGUCCUCCAUGGCUUUUGCCAUAGCUUGUUUCUGCUCAUCCCUGAGAUUGGCUUCCGUCACGGGGAUAACGUUCUCCAAGUCGAAAUCGGUGUUCGACAUAUUGAUCUUGAUCUUGAAUCUCUGUCCCACUAGGCGUGCCAAAAGAUGUGUUGGUGCAAAAGUUGAUCUGCAAACACAAAGGGCUAAUACCCAAUUCAAAUGUUAAGGCGUGCCAGCCGAUUUGACCUUACAAUCAACAAAGGUGGUAACUUGAACACUUUGGUCCCGACAACAGCGAUGCGCCCGGAUGUCACGGCCAAGAGGUGAUCACGUGGAACUCGAGAAUUCGUCGAGAUUGGCUCGAAGAAUCCUUAAGAACUCAUAGUAAAAAAAGAAAAUAUGAUGAAGUCAUCAAAAAAGUAGAUGCUGGAAUAUGAGUAAAAACUUGUGUUUGAUUGAUUGAUAGAUAGAUAUUACAUUGCUCUAGGGUCUACAUUUAUACCCUGUCCGAAGAGCUACAACCAGACACGACUAGGACUCGAAUUCCAAAUCAAACGGAACCCGUAUACAAAACGAACUCUAAUGACUAAGGAAAACAUUAAACUAUCCUCCACGACCGAUCGGUGUACUGCGAUGUGCCAAUCAGCAACCCCUGCAUCUUCUUCCACCCUCAUCGGCAGACCGCUUUCCAUCGUCAUUGGUAACCAUCAGUGCUAGCCAUCGGCACGAUCCCGUUGCUACUUCUUAAACUUAGUCAUAUUCUGUCGUUCUCCCAUCGGCACCAACCUCCAUCGGUUACCUCCCUGUGGACUAGUCACCAUUGCCCCAUCUACCGAUCCACAUUCGAUUAACUCCAGGUGCGUAUCUAGAGACACGUGUCUGAAAACGGUGUCAACACUUUCAUAGACGAGAUGCUAGAGCGAUUAGCGAACCAUUCAUUCUUUUGUACUUAGAUGGAUAUUCAUGGUACCACCAGAUCCCGAUCCAUCCCAAUGAUCAAAGCAAAACCACUUUUACAUGCCCAUACAGAACUUAUGCUUACCGUAGAAUGUCUUUUGGGUUAUGUAAUGCACCAGCUUCUUUUCAAAGAUGCAUGAUGUCUAUAUUUUCUAAUAUGAUUGAAGAGAUUAUGGAAGUUUUCAUGGAUGAUUUCUCUAUUUAUGAAAAACUUUUGAUAGUUGUCUUGAAAACUUAGACAAGGUUUUGCAAAGAUGUAAAGAAAAGCACUUAGUCCUUAAUUGGGAAAAAUGUCAUUUUAUGGUUAGGGAAGGAAUAGUGCUGGGACACCUAGUGUCUGAAAGAGGUAUUGAGGUAGACAAAGCUAAAAUUGAAGUAAUUGAACUACUACCUCCACCUGUGAAUAUAAAAGGAAUUCGAAGCUUUCUUGGCCAUGCUGGUUUUUAUCGCAGAUUCAUAAAAGAUUUUUCAUUUAUUGCUAGACCACUUACUCUUUUGCUAGCCAAGGAUGCUCCUUUCAAAUUUGAUGAUGCACGCCUAACAUCUUUCAACUUAUUAAAGAAUGCACUCAUCUCUACACCAAUCAUUCAACCCCCUGAUGCUAGUGAUUGUGCUGUGGGGGCAGUUUUGGGACAAACUAAAAAUAAGAAGCAUCAUGCAAUUGCUUAUGCCAGUAAAACUUUGAUAGGAGCUCAACUUAAUUAUGCAACCACUGAAAAAGAGCUUCUGGCUGUUGUCUUUGCCAUUGAUAAAUUUAGAUCUUAUUUAGUUGGAGCUAAAAUAAUUGUUUACACUGAUCAUGCUGCACUAAAAUAUCUGCUCACUAGAAAAGAUGCUAAACCUCGCCUGAUUUGAUGGAUCUUAUUACUUCCAGAGUUUGACUUAGAAAUAAAAGAUAAAAAGGGAGUAGAAAAUUCUGUUGCUGAUCACUUGUCUAGAACGUAUUUUAAGAAUCCACAGGAAACCUCCAUCAAUGAUUAACUCCGGGACGACAUGCUCUACGGGAUUAACAGGUCUGACCCCUGGUAUGCAGAUAUUGUUAAUUUUAUGGUUUCAGGGUAUGUACCACCAGGAGCAAACAAGAAGAAGCUUAUUCAAGAAAGUCGUUCACAUAUAUGGGAUGAGUCAUACCUCUUCCAAGUAUGCUCUGAUGGCCUACUUAGGAGGUGUGUGACCACUGAGGAAGGAUGGAAGAUCAUCGACAUAUGUCAUUCAUCACCAUAUGGAGGUCAUUAUGGAGCAUUCCAUACACAUUCAAAGAUCUGGCAGUGUGGAUUCUACUGGCCUACAAUGUAUGAAGACACGAAUCAAUAUAUCAGAACAUGUGGGCCAUGUCAAAGGCACGGAAACAUAAACACAAGGGAUGCCAUGCCACUCACCAACAACCUUCAGAUUGAGCUCUUUGAUGUCUGGGGAAUAGAUUACAUGGGUCCAUUUCCCCCAUCAAAGAAGUGUGAGUUCAUCUUGGUGGCAGUUGACUAUGUCUCCAAGUGGGUAGAGGCACUACCUUGCAAGCAUGCCGACAACAUCAGUUCAAAGAGGAUGUUUGAAGAAAUUAUAUUUCCAAGAUUUGGAGUCCCGAGAGUAGUGAUAAGUGAUGGAGGAGCACACUUCAUCGACAAAGGCUUCAACCAGUAUCUAUCAAAACAUGGAAUUGGUCACAACGUUGCUACCCCCUACCAUCCUCAGACAAGUGGCCAAGCAGAGACUUCCAACAAGCAAAUCAAGAAUAUUCUUCAGAAGACAGUCAAUGAAAUGGGAACAGCAUGGAAGGACUAGUUACCCGAUGCACUCUGGGCAUACCGGACAACAUACAAGACCCCAAUUGGAAUGUCCCCAUACCAAUUGGUGUACGGGAAGACUUGCCACCUACCUGUUGAAUUAGAAUUCAAAGCACACUGGGCCAUAAGGAUAUGGAAUAUGGACCUAGAUGUCGCUAGAGAUCAUAGAAGAAUGUAACUAUAAGAAUUGGAAGAAUGGCGAGAGAAAGCAUAUCACAACUCGAAGAUCUACAAAGAAAGAGUGAAAAGGUGGCAUGACAAGAGGAUCAAGAAGAAGGAGUUCGCACCCGGAGAUAAGGUAUUACUUUUUAAUUCUAGGGUGAUGCUUUUCGGGCAUGGAAAACUCCGGAGUAAAUGGGAAGGACCAUUCAAGGUAAGCAAUUCAUCAUCCCACGGAGCUAUCACACUUCAAAAUGACGAAGGUACGUUAUUCAAAGUAAAUGGUCAACGUCUUAAACUAUUUUUAGAGCCCAAUAAAGAAUUAGAAGAAACAGACGUAAUCCAUUUCUACCUUCCCAUGGAUAACUAGAGCCCAACCUUUUAAAUCUGACAUUUUUGGGCCACACAUAUAUUUUCUGAAUAAAGUCUGCAUCUAGAAACACGCUCGAGGAAGCGGGCCCAUAGAGGGGCCAGACACAGGGCGGGCGCCCUGAUGAAGAGGGCGGGCGCCCAGCCCCUGUCCCCUCUCAGUCUCGAUUUCCUCCGUCGCGAUAAACACAUUUAUGGUAAACUAAAUAAUCAUACAGAUGGAAAGUUUCGCACGCACGGUGGCGGGAGUAGCCCGAGCAAACCCUAGAGGCACUUUUUGACCCCUAUAUAAACAGACCCAUGACGUCAGUUUUCAAACAUCAAUUCAUACAAGCCUUCUCUCCUUCUUCAAUUAGAGCUUGCUUAGUCCCUCGCUGCCCCAAUGGCCGAAGAGUUCCACGAUGAUUGGGAAGUCGUCCCCUAUGACCUCAACAAGAAGGCCAAGGAAGACCCCGACGCUCGCGCUCUCGUCCAGGCCAACACAGAGCGACAGCUAGAAGCCAUGUCAUUACGCCAGCGCAGCUCCGCCCAAUCCUACCAUGCUCAACCAGUUCUCACCGCACCACCGUAGCCCCUACUUCUCAAGGGAUCGUCAGCCAAGAAGGAGGCCACCGUCAAGGUGCCAGCCAGCACAAGGAUCCUGCCACCCAGACCCAAUGAGAGGGUCGUUGGAGUCAAGACCAACCGGAGCGGCGAGAUCAGCAGCAUCCGCUACACUACGGAGGAAGAGAGGCCUUACUUUGAGGGGAUUAGAGCAGCCAAAGUCCGUUUCAUCCCUCUAAAGGCAGCCCUGAAGCAUGCUCUCGAGACACCUCCUAAGCGUCGCAAGACUAUAAUAAAUAUUGAUGAGAACGUUCGUAGGCUAAACAGGGUCAUCAUAGAGCUCCAGUCCUCAGUUAACUCUAUCACUAGGCAGCUCUCUAACCAAAACACCAUUAUACUAGGUCUUAGGCAUGAUCUUGCUAGUUCCAAUAAGAAGAUCAGGGAGUUAGAGCGCCGCUAAGUUAGAUCUUGAGGCAAUGCAUCUUAGUUAUUUAUCUUUAAAUUUGGUUUAGAUCUAUUUGGCUUCAGUUCAUUACUAGUCAUUUGUAAUAAAGGCCUCAAGAUUAAUAAAAGUAUCAUUAUUAUUAUUAUUAUUAUGUCUUGUGUGUCUCUACUUUAUUUAUAUGCAUGAAAGCAGAAAACAAGUAUGGGGGAGAUCCCUCGACACGCCCAACGCACUUCGACUACACCACUCCACGAUUCAGGUACAUACUCAGCACACUUUACAUAUACACAUACAUCUUGGAUUAUGUAGAAUAUUGUCUCCGACAUGAUAAAUUAAAAAGAUUAAAAUGUUUCUAAUCAUGAUUAAUCUCACUCUGUGAUAUUUCCUGAAAACCUGCAAUUAUUGAAAAAAUCAAUUUAAAACCCUGUGUUACUUCAGUCAUUGUGGAAUAUGAGAUGGUAGAGUAUGAGUAUCUUAUUCUUGAUAUCAUUGUUGCUUGGAGAAUUUAUUCAAAAAUUCUAGCUACCAUCCUCAUUGUUUUAUAUGCCUAUUAAACCUGAAAAUAUUAAUAAUUAUAAAAGCUAUCUGCUCUAUAUUGAGUUUGUUCAAAAUGAGUUAGACCCUUGUUGAGAGAUUUAUCAUGCUCCUAAGAUCAAGACAUUUAUUCAGAAAGAUUCACUCUUCCGAAGUAUUAUUGCGUUAGAGGCAUGGGCUAUGCAAAAAUAAGGAUAUUUCGAGGAAAUAAAAAGGAGCAAGUGCUCGAUAACCUCGCAGAAAAAAUGGACAAGUGUCCGGCAGUAGAAUUAGGGGUACCUCGGUAUCCACUUGAAAAAAGAAGAGAGAGAGAAAAAAGAAAGAAAAUGAUAGCCCAUGGUCCCUCUAAUAAGCAAUAUGCCAGUAAGAGUUGACAAGUUUUUAAUUUCCAAAGUCUUUGAUCUAAGAGUAUGACAUUCCUCUCCUCGGAUCCCGUUUUGAUCAGGAAAUAAAUGCAAGGUAAUUAUGCUUGAGAAUUUUUGCAAAUUAAAACAGCCUCAGUGAGAUAUAUAAAAGAUAAUGAGUGACCUGAGAACCUAUGAGGAUAAAGGUAUGCUAAAUUUCUUUUCAAAAAUAUACAAAAACUCCAAGUAACAGGAUUACGAAGAAAGGAUCUCUACGCUUGACCAUAUAUUUCUCUGACUACGGUACACAGUGAAUUUUUACAACACCCUGCAGGUAUGAAGAAAAUGUUUUACAAUGUUUUAACCCCAUUCUUAACCAUCCUUUUCUCGAGGACGAGUAAAAGCCUAAGUAUGGGGGUAUUUGUUGACGGUUCUUAAGCAUCAAUUUUAAUUAUCAAAUAAACAAGAGAAAGGACCAAUAUGCAAACAACACCUAGAAUUAGGGUUUGAUCUGACAGAAUUCCACGAGUUUUGUUGUUUAUUUGUUUCUGUAGGGGGUUAUCAGGAAAUAUGGAAGAAAGGCCCACAUGUCGGGAUUACAUAGAGAUAUUAACGCACUGCAUAAUUUUCUACCAUCUAGAAGACUCGAGAAGCCACGGGAACGAAUGGGAAGGCGAUCGGGCCCGAGGGCAGGGUGCCCGCCCUCCCUCCUAGGGCGCCCGCCCUGGUGUCUCCACCAAUCGGAGCCAACUUCAUGGAUCAUGCUCCACCGACCUAAAGGAUCAAGGAUAACCAUUCAAUCAAUGUCGGUUUGAUUCGACGGCCCACGUUCACCUGAGGGGACUAUAUAAGCAGACUCCCUGGCCCCUGGAGGAGAACAAGUUCAUCAUAGAGUUGAAAGGUGCCCUCGAAGGAUAACCUUUCCUCUACAUAGACUUAGGGCUCAGCAUCCAAUGUGAUAGUAUACUAGAUCUACUAGAUUGAGAGAGAUAGAGUGGAGAUGUAGAUCGGAGGAAGCCCCACCUGUCGGUGUCUACUCCGAGGUUGUACCUGCGGGAUCAAGUUCUCCUAACCCAAAGCUUGCUCCUACGAUUCUUCAGUAUUUCGACUUCUAAAUACAAGUAAGUUCUUGUUUUAUUGUUCUUUGGUUUAUAAGUUUACUUUAAUCUCUUCGCGUAGAGUUUAGAGUAAUCAUCUCUAGCGUAAACAUGGUGUUUGGGCGAGGAUACUCAUAGAUAUCCCUUGACUAGCUGGACCGUGGUAGUAGCAACGAACGUGACAUUUCCGAGUUACCUUUGCAGCCCAUAUCCCGUUAGCAGGAUGGAUAGGGUUUAUAGGUGCGGGUUGAACAUCCUCUGUGGUGUCUAGAUUCCGUGAGCCUCCCCAAUAGAACAGUAGAUCAUCCUUACCAAGGUUAGAACUAGAUUACGGUUGUAGUCUUCUCUCUACAUCGCUCACAUCGAGAAACAUUCUUUGUAGCCUAAAGGUUAGUAGUAAUAGACCGGGUUAGUCAGAUGCACUCUUUCUCCUAGUGGUAAAAAUAUAAAUACGAUACUCUGGAAAACAUCAAGGGUGAAGUGCUCACCGAUAUCCGUGCGCUUGCGGAUCAAUUCCUUAUUGCGUUCCCAAAUAUCAACAAUCUUCGCAGCACUAUGAUGCACUGGGGAAUAAAGAAUUGGACUGAAGUCCCUGCUAAGAAAACAAUGAGUGUUGUGAGUAAUAAACUCUAUUUUUGAAUUCAAUAUAUAUAGGAUGUUAGCAAAAAAAAUUGUUUUUGAAUCCAUGCACCUAUGCUGAGGAUCUUGAUCAUCAGUAGGACGCGAUGGUGGUGGCAGUGAGACUCCAAGAAUGAUGAUGAAGCGCUUAUGCCAACAAAUGAAUGUCUUCUCUGCCUCACCUAAAGUUUUCUCCCCAUCUCCCCCUUCAAUGUUGAGAGGCACGCUCCCACAACCUCGCUCAACCCUAUCCACCGAGACACAAGCAUAUCCUUCUAGUACUGGUUGACCAUGGAUUCUCGGUGUUUUUGUCUAGCCGAUAGGGUUUACAACACCGACGACCACCUUCUUUGUGGCACUUCUUCUAGAAUGUGCAGCUCACAUGAAGUAAGUGGUUCUAUGAGGUCAUCCAUGGGGAAGCGUAGCUUUGCGUUAGCUUGAAUGGUUGGUACUUCCAUGGAGGCACAACUGCUCUUCUCCUGACCUGGGGGGCUAAUGUUGAUGUCUGGUUAGGAUGUAGACCCCUCUCGUCAUCUCACUAAGUGUGGCUUGAACUUGCCUUUUGACCUCCUCGUGCAUCCAUUCGUCAUGACUUUUUUCACGCUCUUGCGACUUGUGAACAUACUCCUCCAACUUGCAGAUCCGCUCUACUUCCUUGUCCUUCUUUCUCUAGCGGCUUUUGUAAGUUUCUUGAUCCACCUAGAAGGAAUGGUACCAUCGAAUCGCCCCAUACCCUCUCGUACACCCGCUGUGUUCUGGAUUUUCAAGGGCGUACAUGAGUUCAUCCUUCUCUCUAUUGUGCUUGAACUGACUAGCUAUAGUCGUUCCUCAUGCAUGAACUAGCCUCUCUGCUGCUCUUGAUAUUUCUAGGCCCUAAUCUAGCACCCCAGUUUCAUUAUCUACGGUUCCCCCAUUACCGUACAACCAAUGCUUUGAGCAUUUAGACCAAUUCUCUUGUACUGUCUGAGGUACUACCCCCUUGGCAAUCAUCUCCACUUCCAUUCUCUCAACCUUUGGAAUGACACUGCUAUAGCUACUUGAUCCCAAAUGAUGGUGGUAUCUAUUUUGAGUAGCAUUCUCUUUGUUCCUUCUGACAAGAGCCUUGCCCUCUUUGGACAUUUUGUACUGCAUGAAAUCAUUCCAAAAGGGCCUCAGGUUGACAUACACCUCAUUUUUCAUAAUAAACUUGUUGUACAAGUUAUUCUUCCGAGCCUAGAAAAGUGUUGCCAUCUUCUUCAUUGUCCACACCUGGAUUCUCCUCUUCAGCUCCUCAUCGUUCGUGUCGAACAUGAAAUGCUCUCAAAUGUCAGUCCAUACUGUGUCCUUAUCACAAUCGGAGACAAAACUAUUUUGUGGAGUUUUGAUAUUUGGUAACGCCAUCAGGAAAUGUUCCGCAAGCGCACGGAUAUCGGUGAGCAUUUCACCCGGGAGGUUAUCCAGAGGAUCGUAUUUAUAUUUUUACCACUAGGAGAAAGCGUGCAUCUGACUAACCAAAUCUAUUGCUACUACCCUUUAGGCUACAAACAAUGUGAUUCGAUGUGAGCGAUGUAUAGAGAAGAAUACAACUGCACUCUCUUUCUAACCUUGGUAAGGAUGAUGUACUAUUCUAUUGGAGAGGCUCACGGAAUCUAGACACCACAAAGGAUGUUCGACUCGCACCUAUAAACCCUAUCAAUCCUGCUAACGGGAUGUGGGCUACAAAGGUAACUCGGAAAUGUCACGUUCCUCGCUACUACCACGGUCCAGCUAGACAGGGGAUAUCUAUGAGUACCCUAGCCCAAACACCAUGUUUACGCUAGCAAUGAUUACUCUAAACUCAACCGGAAGAGAUUAAAGUAAACUCAUAAACCAAAGAACAAUAAAACAAAGAACUUACUAGAAUUUAGAAGUCAAAAUACUGAAGAAUCCUAGGAGCAAGCCUCGGGUUUGGAGACUUGAUCCCGCAGGUACAACCUCGGAGUAGACACCGACAUGCCGGGCUUCCUCUGAUCUACACCUCCACUCUAUCUCUCUCAAUAUAGAAGAACUUAGAAUAACUAGUUCUAAUCUCACAUUGGAUGAUAAGCCUUAAUUCUCUAUAGACGAAAGGUUAUCUUUCGAGGGCACCUCUCAACUCUAUAAUGAUGUGUUCUCCUCCAGGGGCCAGGGGCCUUGCUUGUAUAGCCUCCUCCUUUCAUGCCUUUUUGGUUCAGUAGGCGAUGUGGUACUAAACUUUCCACCAUAUCUCAUUAAAAUGCACAUAGGCUUUAAUGGACCAAAAUCUGAUUUGGGCCCAAUUAAUGUCGUAGCUCUUUUAUGUGGAGUCCUUCUUUUAUUAAUAUCUCUUGAUUUCAAACUCCAAUUAUAGCAAAUAAUAUAUGCAUUUCAAUCAGCUUGACGAGAUCUUUGUAAUGGUGUACUCUAUUUUGUGAUUGGUGCUUGUAGCAGGGGGGCGCCCAAGGGGGGAGGGCGGGCGCCCUACCCCCAGGCCCGUUCGGCCUCCCGUUCGUUCCCGUGGCUUCUAGAGUCUUCUAGAUGAUAGAAAAUUGCGCGUCACGUUAAUAUCUCUAUGUAAAUCCGACGUGUGGGCCUUUCCUUCUAUUCAUGCAAAAGCUGAUCUGAAACACAAAGGGCUAAUACCCGAUUCAAACGUUAAGGCGUGCCAGCCGAUUUGACCUUACUAUCGGCAAAGGUGAUAACUCGAAUACUUUGGUCCCGACAACAGCGAUGCGCCCGGAUGUCACGGCCAAGAGGUAUUCACACGGAACUUGAGAAUACGCCAAGCUUAAGUCGAUGAACUCCUAAGAACUCAUAAUAAAAGGAAAAUAUGAUGAAGUCAUCGAAAAAGUAGAUGCUGGAAUAUGAGUAAAAAUUUAUGUUUGAUUGAUUGAUAGAUAUAUUAUUACAAGGCCCUAGGGUCUACAUUUAUACCCUGCUCGAAGAGCUACAAUCAGUCACGACUAGGACUCAAAUUCUUAAACGGAGUCCGUAUACAAAAACGACUCUAAAUAACUAAGGAAAACAUAAAACUAUCCCCUUGUAACCGACCGGGACACCGCCACAAAUCAAUCGGCAAUCUUCACGCUUUCCUUCAGAGUCAUCGGCAAUCUCCCUGUUAUGGCCAUGGGCAAACACCGAUAUUGAUCAUCGGUAAGAAUACGUCACCACCCCUGGACUUAGUCACAUUCAAUCGCCUCUUCAUCGGCAACUAUCCUCAUCAGCAACUCUUCUGCAGACUAAUUACAGUUGCUCCACCUGCCGAUCUAUACUCCACUGGUCCCCGGGUACGUGUCCAAAAAUGGUGUCAACACAUGCCCCCCAAUUUCGGAGUAUAAUCAUUAAUGCUCCAAAAUUCUCUGCAGUAAUGAUGUCUUUCCGCAAUUAAUCCUCCCAAUUUGGUAACCGACCGUUAAAUCUGAACAACCUUGGCCCGAUUCUCCUGCGAAUUCCUCGAAUUCCUCAACCUCCUGAACCGGAUCUCUCCACUUUAUGUGCCCAUCGGCAAUAUUACCGUUAGAGAGAACUGUCGAUGGACCGACCAGGAGAUCUUGUACAGCGAAAUAUCUUCAAAAUCAUGACCGCUUGCUGUCAAAUCACCUGCGCAAUCCCUUGAUUACCGUGCGAACAGUUACCAUAUCCACCUGAGCAUCCUCGGAUUCACGGAUGCGGCAAAGAGAUAAGUCAAAUUUGCCCUUACCCGUUUUGUCCUAUAAAUACUUCCUUCUCGGGUACUCCUUCUCCAUCGCAUCAUUCUACAGCCCAAACUCUGUUUUCCUGGCAGCAGCACUGUUCAAGGACUUCAAGAACUCCAGCAAGAACUUCUUCCAACAACCCCCAAGUUUUCAACCUUCUUCCCUGUGAGAGAUGGCCAUCAACUUCGUCGUCCCUGAGGUCAGCGUACUGCCCUUUCUUCUGUACUUCUACUAUACCCCUGUUCAUCUGCAAUCUGCCUUACCGAAUCCUUUUCUUUUUGUUCUUCUUUUCAUUCCUCAAAAAUUUCUAGGAUUUAGCCGAUAAGAUCGUUAUUCCUACCGAUCAACCCCAUCUCCAAUGCCUUGGCCCACUAGGAAGCCCAGAUCCUACCGAUCUUAUAAACGCAGAGACAAACAGAAUCCCCUUUAGAACUGAGAAUUUCUCUCUAGAUCUAUGGAAAGAUGCCUUCCAUUCCUAGCCCAGUCCUACCAAGGGAUAGAAGGAUUGGUUCCUGAGAGUCAGUAACUCAAAUGAGGUCCAAAGGGGUGAACGGAAAUUAGAUCAGUGCAUAAGAUUGUCUCUUGCCGACUUGGAGAGAAAUGAGUCAAUACUGAUAGCUGCCUCAUACUUUUGGUCAGACACACUCAAUUCUUUUGUGUUUGGCCACGGCCCUGCUUCUCCUACACUUGCCGAUGUACUUAUGCUCACAGGCUUAGAUAUAUCCAUUGCCGAUAACACCCACCUUUUCGACGCCAAACCUAGUGUGAAGGUAGAAACUCGUGCUAUCGGCGGUUGGUCAGGGUACAUCCAGAAGUACCGAAGAACGGGACCUGUCAGUAUAAAGGAGCAGACCACCUUCCUGAAUAUGUGGCUAGAUAAGUUUGUAUUCUGUGGUCGAUCGGCAGGACCAACUUCUGUCUACCUAUCGGCAGCAGAAAGAUUAGCUAAUGGUGGACGAUUCCCCUCGGCCGAUACCUGCUCGGCUCUGCUUAUCACCUCCUCCACCAGGUAGCCAAGAAACUACUGCUUGGUCAACCCAUCGGCAACUUAGGGGGUCCCUGGUGGUUCAUCAAUAUGUGGCUUAGUCUCCACAUGCACAAACACCUUGAGUUCGAUCUCUUUGCACAGCGCUUCCCUAGGGACAUAGCCGAGGAUUAUGAACUAGAUGAAGAAGAAUCGGCAACUCAUUCCCCUCUGAACUUUGGCGAAGCCACCAUAGUUUUGCCAGGCACAGGUGGUAACGUAGAUCAAGUUAGCCGAUUCUUCCAAACUCUGUAUGAGGGUCUGACCAGAGAACAGCGGGCAUGGAUGCCUUAUGAAGACCCAGAUACCAGAUUUCCCCUGACCUUCCAUCCCUUCAACGAUGCUCUCAACAAGGACCGUGAUGUGAUGAUGGCAAUUAUCACCCCAAGAGCCAUACCGGUGAAUUUCUUUGGUAGUGGAAAGGCUUCCAAUAUGACCUAUGAGUUUUAUAACCCAUUGGCACUAGCUCGGCAAUUGGCUUUCGGUCAACUGCCGAUUGCACUCUGCUACGCUGAUGUGAUAAAGCCGUGGGAGAUCAUUACCAACAAUCUGGAAUGGAUCAGGGUAGCCCAACUUCGACCAAACGCCGAUACAGAUGUCAAUCUAUCGGCUUGGAUCCCGGCUCUCUUCGUCACUCAGGCAUACAAACAGUGGUGGGAAGAAUGGAAAGAACACCUGUUCUGUAGAUUGGCUCUCACAUACCGUGGCAUGAUCGACCCCAAGUACAAAGUCCCUAUUAAUACUGUAAGUGCUUUAAACCGAUGCUUCAAUCCUUUCAUUUUCACUUUCCAUCGGUAACUCACUUCCUUUGUUGUAUACAGGUUGAUGAUUCACCACCAUCAGCCAGAAGGAGUGGUAGGCCGAUUGAGCUCCUUCCAUCGGGCCCGAUCUCUCUGAUCGGUAACAGCGCUCCAACCUUGGCUGCUAUAAUGCAUCGGGGUGUACGUCUCAAGAAAGUCACCACCAAGCGUACGAAGACAUCCCCAUCGGUAGCUGCUACUGCUUUGGCACAAGCCUUCAAGGUAAACUCUCGAAUCCUUCAUUGGUAAUUUCUGUUAUUUUAAUCAGAACCUUGAUACCUUGUUACACUUGUAUUUACUUUUAUUGUUGUAUCAGCAUACUGGCACAUCGGCAAAGGCCAGAAGCAUGACUGCCGAUGCCCCCCAGUCCAGCCAACCAAAGAGAAAGGGCUCUAAGGGUAUUAAGUCCCAAGCAAAGCGUCAGCGAACAGCAACACCUUCUCCACCUCCAAGAUCACCGAUCCCGGUUGAAUCGUCCCCCUCUUCUCCAAAAAUCUAGAUACAACAAGUACCAUCUCCUCUCCAGCCGCAAGAAGAACCCCAAUCAGAAGAACUUCAGCCAGAGGAACCUCAGCCAGAAGACACAUCGGCUGAUGUGCACGAGCAAACCGCCGAUCUAGCAAGGUCAAUCAUAGCAUCAGUAGCUUCCUCAAUCCAGACAAGCACUGCACCCCCUCAAAGUAACAUAUUCUCUAUGAAAUCAUUGCCGAUGAACCACUUUUUUUUUCAUUUUAUAAUUCCUCUGUUAAUCUUUUAGCUCACAUAGUUUCAUCGGCAAUUCCAGCCGAUCAGCCUGUAGUUCCAUCAGCCUCAACUAUUCAGAGGCAAGAGAUAGCUCUGAAACAAGUAAGUUACCUGACCUCUAUCUUUAUCAUUAUCAAUGCUUGAUCAUGAAAUGACUCAUUUUAUCUUCCUUUUCAGGAACAGGAUUCUCCCGACAGCCUGUUCUCCUUCGCCAUUGAGAUCUCUAAGGAUGAAGGCGAGGAAGGAAGUUCUUCUUGAGUAGUUGGAAUCUCAUCGGCAGAGAUUAGAGCAAAGCUGGUGGAUCUUUUAGCCUUCCUCCAUCAAGAUACAGCGCAAUUGGUCGAUGACUCUGAUCCAGCCAAAGUUCUAUUCAAGGCUCUCAGAGGUCAAAUCCCUGCCGAUGCCGAGGAGGUUCUUUUUUAGGCUGCACACUUAGAGAGUCGUCAGCUGCAGUAUCAAAAGGCUAGAGGAGAUGAUGAAAGUGAAGCUCUUUGCCGAUGAGAAGCAUAAGAGCAUCGGCAUUCUGAAAUCCUCAGGAGAUGUACUAAAGCAAAAGAUCUCUGAUCUAUCGGUGAGAAGGAAAGCUCUGUUGGCUGAACUCAGACAAGUGGAAGAAGCUAUGUCCCAAGCUCAACACGAAGAAAGCCAGCUGCCUGAAGCAAUCAAGACUCUUGAACAAGAGCGAAACAUCCAGGCCCAUAAAGCGCUAUAGAUGAAGAAGAAACUGAAGCCAGUGGAAGGCUCCGCCGAUGAUGACAUGAAGGAGAUAGAAGAGGCCAAUCAGAUCCGUCUGCGCGCCAUAUCGACGAUCCAGGCUCUGUUAAACAUGUGAACUCUUCAUCGGCGGCGUGCUUUGCUUCUUUCUUCUAAUCAUUUUGGUCCAGCCGAUAGGACUGUUAUCGGCAUCCUUUUAAAACAUUAAGUCUGUCCCCAGAUACACUUUUAAUUCAGCCGAUAGGAAUGUUAUCGGCACUUAAACUUUCAUGCAUCAAGCCAUAUGCUGGGGUAAUAUCUCUUUAAAUAUUUGCCGUUCAAUGCUCUGGCAAAUUCAACUCCUUCGAUAGUUUCUAAGAUAUAGGCGUUGCCAGGAGCAGAUUGAUUUAUCCGAUAGAGACCUUCCCAAUUGGGAGACCACUUCCCAAAGUUUGAACUUUCAGUCCCGAUCGGUAAGAUUAGUUUCCAUACUAAGUCUCCAUCGACAAACUCCUUAGCCCUUUCCUUCUUAUCAUACCAUCUGGCAACUCUCUUCUUAUUUUCUUCUAUACUUAUCAAAGCCCUUAGCCGAUGCCCUGCUAAAUCAUCCAACUCGUCUGUCAUCAAAGUAGCAUAAUCAUCGGCAGCCAAUUAAUCUUGAAAAGAUAGUCGCCUAGACCCAGUUGUAAUUUCCCAAGGUAGCACUGCAUCAUGUCCAUACACCAACUGAUAAGGUGAAACCUUGGUCGACCCAUGACAAGCCAUCCGAUAUGACCAUAAAGCUUCGUUCAACAACGUAUGCCACCUCCUAGGAUUUUCUUCAAUCUUUCGUUUAAUAAGUUUGAUAAUUCCUUUGUUAGAUGCUUCGGCCUGCCCAUUAGCUUGAGCAUAAUAAGGAGAAGAAUUUUAUACUUUAAUUCCCAUACCGAUUGCAAACUCAUCAAACUCCCCUGAUGUAAACAUAGUACCCUGAUCGGUAGUAAUUGUUUGAGGAAUUCCAAAUCGGUAAAUAAUAUGCUCUUUCACAAAAUCAAUCAUAUUGACCGAUGUGACUUUCUUCAAAGGAAUAGCUUCAACCCACUCGGUGAAAUAAUCGGUGGCAACCAAGAUGAAUUUAUUUCCUUUGCUUGAUGGUGGGUAAAUUUGGCCGAUUAGAUCAAUAGCCCAUCCCCGGAACGGCCAAGGCUUAAUAAUGGGAUUCAUGGCCGAUGCAGGUGCCCUUUGAAUAUUGCCAAAUUUCGGACAUCCUUGACACCCCUUGAAAUAUUUAAAGCAAUCUUCAAGCAUAGUUGGCCAAUAAUACCCAUUCCUCCUAAUCAUCCACUUCAUCUUAAAAGCCGACCGAUGCGCUCCACAUACUCCUUCAUGGAUUUCCCCCAUUAAAGUUUUAGCCUCAUCAUCACCUAAGCAUUUGAGAAGAAUUCCAUCAAUUGUUCGAAAAUAUAAUUCAUCUUCAAGGAGCACAUACUUGGUGGCUUGAAACCGAACACGCCCCUCAACUUUCUUGGAUGGAUCCUAUAAAUAAUCAACGAUUCCUUUCCUCCAAUCAUCGGCACCGAUUGCCGAUAACAUGUUAACCAUAGGUUGAUACCCUGAAGCAUGCUGAGCCAACCAAUUAGCCUCCUCAUUAUGUAAUCGAGGAACAUGCUCUAAUUGGAAAUCUUUGAAUUCCUUUAAUAGUUGCAUACUUUUUUCAAAAUAAGCUAUCAGGACUUCACUUCGGCAUUCAUAGCUUACAGCCAAUUGAUUUAUAACCAGCAUAGAAUCCCUGAAGACCUCAACUGCAUUAGCAUGGACUUCUCUUAACAAUUCCAACCCCUUUAUCAAAGCUUGAUACUUGGCUUGAUUAUUCGUUGACGUGGCGACUAUCGGCAAGGAGAACUCAUACUUCCUUCCUUGAGGGGAAAUUAAUACUAUGCCGAUUCCUGCCCCCCGGUCACACGUGGAUCCAUCAAAGAAGAGCGUCCAAGGCACAAUUUCCAAAGUCUCCACUGUACCGCAAUGUUGAGUCACAAAAUUGGCCAUAAUCUGUCCUUUAACCGCUUUAGCCGAUUCGUAACGCAAAUCAAAUUCUGACAGUGCCAAAAUCCACUUACCGAUUCUACCACUCAUGAUCGGCAUAGAUAGCAUAUAUCGGACCACAUCAUCUUUGCAUAUAACAGUACAUUCGUCCGAUAGUAAAUAGUGCCUCAACUUGGUGCAAGAGAAAUAUAGGCAUAAACAUACCUUUUCAAUAGCCGAAUACCUGGUCUCAGCAUCAAUCAAUCUUCUGCUCAAAUAGUAAAUCACACGCUCCUUCCCUUCAAAUUCUUGAAUCAAAGCUGAACCGAUGACCACCCCGUCGGUAGAUAGAUAUAAUCUGAAGGGCUUGCAUUGCUGAGGUGGAAUCAAGACUGGAGGAUUUACCAAGUAACUCUUGAUUUCAUCUAAAGCCAACUGUUGCUCUUUCCCCCAUAUAAACUCUUGAUCGGCUUUCAAUUUAAGCAAAGGACUGAAAGCACAAAUUUUACCAGACAAAUUAGAUAUAAACCUCCUGAUAAAAUUUACCUUGCCGAUCAAGGACUGGAGCUCAGUUUUGUUAGUAGGAGCAACUAUUUUGUUAAUAGCAUCAAUGGAUCUCCUACUAAUUUCAAUCCCCCUUUGAUGCACCAUGAAACCAAGGAAUUGUCCUGCCGACACACCAAAUGCACACUUGUUAGGGUUCAUCUUCAAACCAUGCUUCCUUGUACAUUCCAACUCCUUUCGUAAAUCGGCAAGAUGUUUUAUGAAAUCCCCAGACUUAACCACCACAUCAUCAAUAUAAAUUUCCACCAGCUUGCCGAUGAACUCAUGAAAGAUAAAAUUCAUAGCCCUCUGAUAAGUAGCACCAGCAUUUUUCAAGCCAAAGGUCAUGACUAUCCAUUCAAACAACCCAACAUGACCAGGACAUCUAAAUGCAGUCUUUGGAAUAUCUUCUUCAGCCAUGAAUAUUUGAUUGUAUCCUGCAUUGCCAUCCAUAAAGCUGAUGAUCCGAUGCCUAGCCGCAGCAUCAACUAGCAGAUCGGCAACCGGCAUUGGGUAACCAUCCAUCGGUGUAGCUUUAUUAAGAUUCCUGAAAUCAAUGCAAACCCGAAGCUUCCCAUUUUUCUUGUAGGCUGGAACAACAUUGGAAAUCCACUCGGCAUACCGACACUGCUGAAUAAAUUUAGCUUCAAUAAGUUUGGUUAUUUCGGCCUUAAUAUCAGGAAGAAUAUUAGGAUUACAUCGGCGAGCUGGCUGUUGAUGUGGCCGAAAUCCAGACUUGAUGGGUAACCGAUGUUCAACAAUCGAUCGGUCCAAACCAGGCAUCUCAGUAUAAUCCCAAGCAAAGCAAUCUUUAUAUUCCUUUAACAAAUUGGUUAACUGCUGCUUACACUCAGAAUUUAACUUAGCACUAAUAAAAGUAGGUCUAGGCUUAUCACCACUACCUAUAUCUACCUCUACCAAAUCAUCGGCCAAUGUGAACCCCUGGCCUAAUUUUCCAUCAUCGGCGAACCUAUUCAUUAAAACUCCUCAUCAGAACCGACUGCUUGGAUCGGUGGAAUUUCAUAAUCGGCAACUUUGACGAAAUCCUUCUCCCAAAUCUCUCCCGAGAGACACCUAGUUCUUUCAUAGGUAUCGGCCUCUGCCGAUGCAAUGACAUAAGAAGAAUCCCCCGGGACAAUCUCAAUCUUGUACCUACCCACUAAACCAAGCAAUGGUGCAUUGUAGACGGGAUGCAACAAUUGGCAUGAAUCCAAUCUCUCCCUAGCAGCAAAUUAUAAGCACCUUUUCCACUGAUCACAAAGAAAGUUGUCGGCAAGGUUUUGCUGUCGAUGGUCAACUCGACGCAGAUUGCCCCCUUAACCGGAGAUACAUUUCCUUCAAAAUCCUUUAGCAUCAUAUCGGUCUUGGUCAAAUCCUGAUCUCCCUUUCCAAGCUUCCGAUGAACUGCAUAUGGCAUGAUGUUGAUAGCAGCCCCACCAUCAAUUAAUAUCUUAGUCAUCGGCUGACCAUCAACUCUUCCUUUGACAAACAGAGCUUUAAGAUGCUACCUUUCAUUGUCGGCAGGCUUCUCAAAGAUAGCUGUCAUCGGAUCUAGAGCCAACUGAGCUAUCUGGUCGGAAAACUCCAACUCCUCAUCAUCACUGGAUGGCGCAAGGAACUCCAUCAGCAACAUAAAUACCAAGUUGACAUCUGCCGAUGGUCCCUUUCCCUUUGGGUCCUGCUGUUGCUGAUCCCCAGACUGGCCAGAGUUCUCGCCCUUGCUUAGCUCUUCUCGUCUUUUACGUUGCAGUCUCCUUUUUUGUGUCUUGGUCAACCCCUCUGGACACCAUGGGGGAAGUGGUGACUGCCUUGCCGAUAGACGAUGAUGUUCCCUUGACUACAUCCGAUAAGUAUUAGCAUCCCUGCAAAAUACGAACUCAUUGGGAACUCGUGCAUUAGCCAUAUCUUCAAGCUCCUCCUGGUUCCUAGGAAAAUAUUGAACACGAUCACCAAGCCUAUCGUGCACACUGAGUCUGCCCCCCAGCCAAUCCUGAACUGACGCUCUCCCCCUAAUCGGUCCAUUAAAUCGCCGAUCAUCUUCGUGAUAGCACCAAUCGGAUCUGUCAUAUCGAUCAUAACCAUUGCACUCAGGGCAAUCUCUAACAGUGGGUAAUUUAAUGUUCUGCUCCCAGCAAUGGAUAAAGAACGGAUAGUUCCAGUGAUCUUUGUACCGAUUCCACUCCUGUCGGUGUCUUUCUUCUUCCCGACGAUAGUCUUCUUGCUGGCGCCGAUACCGAUCAUCACGUUGCUGCCAAGUCUCCCGAGGCCUUCUAUGCAUUAUCACAAUACCAGAUCGGGGAGGCCUUCCCGAGUUAGUUCCCUCUUGGAUCAAGCCUUUUCCUUUGGCAUCGGUAGCAGUGAUUUGAUGCUGAGGAUCUACCGAUGCACUCCUUUCAGCUGCCUCCGACGUCAAGACCUUGGUCUUUCCCUUAGCAUCCAACAUAUUUGUUGGGAAAGGAUGUUGAUUGAUCUUCAUCGGCUUCUGAGCUUUGGAACUAUCAAAUUUGAUUCUCCCAGAUUCAAUAGCCGAUUGCAGUUGUUGUCUAAAAACCUUGCACUCAUGGGUGCUGUGAGAAGUUGUAUUGUGCCACUUGCAGUAUUUCAUCUUCUUUAAUUCUUCGGUCGAUGGAAUAACAUGAUUAAGCGACAACUUGAUCUGGCCUUCCUGAAGUAGAAAGUCGAAUAUCCUAUCGGCUUUGGUGAUAUCAAAUGCAAACUUUUCUGGCUCUUUAUGCCCAAAAGGGCAAGACAUCGGCUUCUUAUUUUUUACCCAUUCUGCCAAGCCGAUGACUGGCUCCUCAUCAGAAUCCGAGCUUGUUGCUUCAUCUACAAAUGACACCUUUUUGUUCCAAGCUCUCUUAGGUUCAAAGGGUUUGAUAUCCUGGUCGAAGAUCCUCUGGACCAAGUGACUUAAGCUUUCGAACUCUUGAGAAGCAUACUUGUCCCUGAUAUGUGGCAACAAACCCUGGAAAGCUAAAUCGGCUAGCUGUCAAUCGUCCAAAACCAGACUAUAGCACUUGUUCUUAACUUCUCGCAAUCUCUGCACGAAGCUUUCAACCGAUUCAUCAUUGUGUUGCUUCAAUCUGACCAAAUCGGUGAUCUUCUUCUCAUGGACUCCAGAAAAGAAGUACUUGUGGAACUGUUUCUCUAGAUCGGCCUAAGUGAUUACUGAGUUGGGAGGUAACGAAAUAAAUCAGGUAAAAGCCGAUCCAGACAAAGAUGACGAGAAUGACGUAUCAUCCUGUCCAGAAAAUUUAGUAAAAUCGGGUACAUUGUACCGAUUUGGCAGUGGAAUCAAGUCGUAUGCAGGAGGAUACGGUGUCCAAUAAGAGUAAGUGUUGACUUUGGGUUUUAUCCCGAAUUGGUCCCUCAUUACAUCAGCAAUGUUAUCGGCCCAAUAAGCAUCGGCAUCUUGCCGAUGAGGCGGUUGCGGAUCUGGCACCUGCUGAUAUGCUUCCACGUGUCUGUGCGGUGCAUGAUCUGCAUGGAACAUUGGGUUAAUCAUCUGACCACCAAUCUGCUGGCCACUAAUCUGUUGACCACCAAUCUGUUGGCUACCAAUCUGCUGGCCAAGAUUGAUCGGCUGGUUGGCCAAUCCUUGAUUCUGGAACCUAGGUUGGCCCUGUUGAAACCCUGGAACUUGAUGAUUCUGUUGAAGCAUCUGUUGAAAGACUAACUGCCCGGUCCAUCCACUAUUAGGAUUUAUCGGCAUAGGCCCUACCGAUGACUGGUAAUUGGGCAUCAUCAUCGAAUUGACAUACCCUGGCUGAGUCAUAAACCUCUGUUGCGUCGGCAUUGAAUCUGCCGAUGCAUUAGGCAUCUGGAAUGUUGGAGCUUGAGAAUUCCCAGUGUAAGGUCGUGCAGUAGUAGUUGUAGUAUACUGGGGACUCUGAUUUAUCGGCAAAUUUGGGAGUGCCGAUGCCAUAGGAGCCUUGCCUCUCAUAUCAGCCGUCUGAGAUGUGCCAAGCGUCUUCAACAUCAUCUCUGGGGGCAUACCAUAACCCCACCAGUUGGGAGGAACGGCCCCCGACAUUGCCGAUGCCAAUAGAUCUGUGGCAAGCUUGAUUCGCUCAUCUGAAGUUGCUGGAUUGGUUGUCAUCGGCGUAGAUUGCACAUCAGUGAGUCCUAAUGUGCUUGGAGGAGCGGUGGUCUCUGUGCCCGCAGCGGCCGUAGUAGCCGAUGGAGCUGUGACAACUGGUGAUCCUGCCUGAUGAUAGACAGGGCCCACAUAAUUUGGUGGCAAUUGUCCUUCUUUGAAAGUUCUAGCCACGGCAUUGAAAACCGUAUUGGACAGCACACCAGCUUGAUUGAUCAAGGUACGGUUAAUCGCACUAUCAACCAUGUCUUGAAGUUUACUAGGAUUUGCAUCAAAAGUAACCUACCGAGGAGCCGGCGGUGCUUCUUUCUGGAUUACUUCGCCACUCCUAUUGAUGCUGAAGGACUUCAAACAUUGUUGCUUGUAAUCCUCCAUGGCUUUUGCAAUAGCUUGCUUCUGCUCAUCUUUGAGAUUAGCUUCCGUCACGGGGAUGACGUUCUACAAGUCGAACUCAGUAGUCGACAUGUCGAUCUUGAUCCUGAAUCUGUCCCACUGGGCAUGCCAAAAGAUGUGUUGAUGCAAAAGCUGAUCUGCAAACACAAAGGGCUAAUACCCGAUUCAAACGUUAAGGCGUGCCAGCCGAUUUGACCUUACUAUCGGCAAAGGUGAUAACUCGAAUACUUUGGUCCCGACAACAGCGAUGCGCCCAGAUGUCAUGGCCAAGAGGUAUUCACACAAAACUCGAGAAUACGCCGAGCUUAAGUCGACGAACUCCUAAGAACUCAUAAUAAAAGGAAAAUUUGACGAAGUCGUCAAAAAAGUAGAUGCUGGAAUAUGAGUAAAAAUUUAUGUUUGAUUGAUUGAUAGAUAUAUUAUUACAAGGCCCUAGGGUCUACAUUUAUACCCUGCUCGAAGAGCUACAAUCAGACACGACUAGGACUCAAAUUCUUAAACGGAGUCCGUAUACAAAACGACACUAAAUAACUAAGGAAAACAUAAAACUAUCUCCUUGUAACCGACCGGGACACCGCCACAAAUCAAUCGGCAAUCUUCAUGGUUUCCUUCAGAGUCAUCAGCAAUCUCCCUGUUAUGGCCAUCGGCAAACACCGAUAUUGAUCAUCGGUAAGAAUACGUCACCACCCCUGGACUUAGUCACAUUCAAUCGCCUCUUCAUCGGCAACUAUCCUCAUCGGCAACUCUUCUGCAGACUAAUUACUGUUGCUCCACCUGCCGAUCUAUACUGCACUGGUCCCCGGGUACGUGUCCAAAAACGGUGUCAACACCUUCAUAUUUCCUGAUAACUCCCUGCAAAAAUAGACAAACACCAAAACUCAUGGAAUUCUGUCAGAUAAAACCCUAUGUCUGGGUGUUGGUUGCAUUUGGAUCCUUUUCUUUAAUUAUUUGAUGAUUAUAUUUGGUACUUAAGGACUGUCAACAAAGUCUCCCAAGCUUACCUCUUGCUCGUCCCUGAGCAAGGAUGGACUCAAGAGUUUCUACAAUGGUUUCUUGCCUUAAAAGUACACAUGUGUUCAAGCAAGAUCUCAUCUCUGAGUUAGAGUAAACUGUUAAGACUUAAAACUUACUCAUUUUACCUUUCACCAUGGGGCUUGCAACCGUCACUUUUGUCUUGAGCAGUUAAAAGAUAGAAUGGUCAAGUCAAGCGCCAUGUCUCUUAUUCUUGAUCAGGUAUGGCUCUAGAUUCCUUGUAUGACUCUCUCAAAUCUCUCUUUUGUGGUAUUUCUGGAUCCUUUCCAAGGCAGUAAUGGUAUAUGCCUUCUCUCAAAGUAUGUGGUAUUUUUUGUAUGAGGAAUAGUGAUAUUGCCUUCUCUCACACCCUACUCUAAUAAGGUUUUGAUAUCUAGAGCUCAUAGGUGGGAGACAGAUAAUACAUACUUACAAGACAUUUAUUGCAUAGUCAAACCAUGGAUCCAAAAGAACAAGUCAAUAAGUCAAAUCAAGAUGUGCAUGUGUGGCGAGUGAAUGGUGUAUGGUGAUGAUGGUGAUAACAAUGGUGAAAGUCUAAUUCUACUUUUGCUCUUUUAAGGGGAUACAUACCUUUCUUGCACUUUGAAGCUUUUUGAGGAGAAUGAGAUGCUCUAUAUAUUCUUUUUCUUUUCUCUCAGGUGGGUAUCUUGUACCACUAAUUCUACUGUCGUACACUUAUCCAUUUUUACCUAUCGUCUCACUUUUUCUUUUCUUCGAGGUUCCGAGCACUUGCCCCUUUUUAUUUCCUCGUAUCCUUUCUCUCUUUUUUUAGAGCACUCAUCUCCUGAAAUAAUAUAGCAAGUGGUAGUAACCAAGAUAACUCGAGCAUUUAUUUCACAGGGAAAAUAGAAAUAGGGAAAUGUUUUUGGCUAUUCUCUCUCGGAUUAGGAGUAGAAUAAUUUGAGGUGAAUCUAGAGAUGGAAAUGAGUGGAUAUAUGUGUAUGCGUACU